rnacentral:rRNA from 1 species
UACGAGGGGGGCGAGCGUUGUUCGGAAUUAUUGGGCGUAAAGGGUGCGUAGGCGGUUCCGCAAGUCCUGUGUGAAAUCUUCGGGCUCAACUCGAAGUCUGCACGGGAAACUGCGGGGCUUGAGUGUGGGAGAGGUGAGUGGAAUUCCCGGUGUAGCGGUGAAAUGCGCAGAUAUCAGGAGGAACACCGAUGGCGAAGGCAGCUCGCUGGGACGGUACUGACGCUGAAGCGCGAAAGCGUGGGGAGCAAACAGG